UGCAAAAUGGAAAUCCGGUUUAUCUGAAACAUUUCAGGCGUGCAGAAGACGGGCACGGCGAUUUUCGGAUUAACCUCAAGAUUAAAGAGUAGCGGGACGCGGGCGAACAACAAGAUUUAUCUGAGAAAAAAAUGCCGGCAUAUUGCCGGCAUCAUUACGCUUA
rnacentral:sRNA from 1 species